UGCAGAGGUACCGUGUCGAGCUAUCAGUUGAUGACGGCAACGAUAAUGCUAUGUUUGUGGUCUUCGACAUGGAGAAAACUAAGCUCGCUAAGAGAGAUGCUGCUGAUCUGGGUGGGUCAUGAGCUAUGAAUGGCGUUGGAGGGCAGGAACUACCGACAUGUCUUGAAGAGCUUGCUAGAAAGGAAUAAUACGUGUCACUUCAUACAUUUUCACAUCAAACCAUCGUACCUUCUUCACCGUCUCUACAAUAAGAGAAAAUAGCUUCUUUGACAACCAAACCAAAACGUUUUCUUCUUGCUAAUUUGAAAUAACACAUUUACAACUAUCUCAGAGAGUAGCAGCAACAACCAAGCCCCAGUUGUUGAAGGGGAAGGUGGAGAAACAGCUGCAUCUGCCAGCAACACUGCUGCAGCAGGAGACGAUGAACCAAAUCCUCCCGGUUUUGAAGCGAUAGAGAAUAGUCGCAAACGCACGCGUGAGUGAUAGUUCCAAGCCCGUCCUGCUGUCAACCCCACUUAGCUUUCGUCUGUUUCGAAUUUCCUAACUUGCUAUGAUUUGAAUCGAUUAUAUAUGAUUUUCAACUUUGAUUUUUCUCUUAAAUUUCUGGCUAAGUCUCUCCCACAAAGAGGACAAUUACUAAUUUUUUAUAUUAAAAAGGCAGUGUUGAGUCUGUU